AUUGAACGCUGGCGGCAGGCCUAACACAUGCAAGUCGGACGGUAGCACAGAGGAGCUUGCUCCUUGGGUGACGAGUGGCGGACGGGUGAGUAAUGUCUGGGGAUCUGCCCGAUAGAGGGGGAUAACCACUGGAAACGGUGGCUAAUACCGCAUAACGUCGCAAGACCAAAGAGGGGGACCUUCGGGCCUCUCACUAUCGGAUGAACCCAGAUGGGAUUAGCUAGUAGGCGGGGUAAUGGCCCACCUAGGCGACGAUCCCUAGCUGGUCUGAGAGGAUGACCAGCCACACUGGAACUGAGACACGGUCCAGACUCCUACGGGAGGCAGCAGUGGGGAAUAUUGCACAAUGGGCGCAAGCCUGAUGCAGCCAUGCCGCGUGUAUGAAGAAGGCCUUCGGGUUGUAAAGUACUUUCAGCGGGGAGGAAGGCGGUGAGGUUAAUAACCUUGCCGAUUGACGUUACCCGCAGAAGAAGCACCGGCUAACUCCGUGCCAGCCGCCGCUGUAAGAC
rnacentral:rRNA from 1 species